GAUGAACGCUGGCGGUGUGCUUAACACAUGCAAGUCGAGCGAGUGAGUUCUUCGGAACGAUCUAGCGGCGGACGGGUGAGUAACACGUGGGCAACCUGCCUCAUAGAGGGGGAUAGCCUCCCGAAAGGGAGAUUAAUACCGCAUAAAAUUAUCGAGUGGCAACACAUGAUAAUCAAAGGAGUAAUCCGCUAUGAGAUGGGCCCGCGGCGCAUUAGCUAGUUGGUGAGGUAACGGCUCACCAAGGCGACGAUGCGUAGCCGACCUGAGAGGGUGAUCGGCCACAUUGGGACUGAGACACGGCCCAGACUCCUACGGGAGGCAGCAGUGGGGAAUAUUGCACAAUGGGGGAAACCCUGAUGCAGCAACGCCGCGUGAGUGAUGAAGGUCUUCGGAUUGUAAAGCUCUGUCUUUGGGGACGAUAAUGACGGUACCCAAGGAGGAAGCCACGGCUAACUACGUGCCAGCCGCCGCCGUAA
rnacentral:rRNA from 1 species